rnacentral:sRNA from 1 species
GCCAGGUGCAGUGGCGCAUGCCUGUAAUCCAGUGGCUCCGGAGGCUGAGACGGAGGAUAUCACGAGUUCAAAGCCAGCCUCAGCAAGGGCGAGGUGCUGAGCAACUCAGUGAGACCCUGUCUCUA